rnacentral:lncRNA from 13 species
UUUGCAAUUAGUCAUCCAGCUUGUCAACCACAUGAACAGAGAAUUUAAUUUCUGUUUCAGGUGUUGAGCAGAUGGGCAGGCUGCCACGCUAGAACCUGGCCGUGCUUCCAGGAUGAUAGAUUAGAACUUUUAACCGAAGCAAGCAGACAGAUUUGAAAUGCCAACGUG